UACUAACAGCACUGUUCUCCACACACACACCCUUUCGUUUUCUGAGACUAUUUAUCUUUUCAUAUUUCAGGAACAAAUAUGGAAAUGAAAACAGAACAAGACAGCCAAAUCCUGCAUCAGACUAAAACCUGCAAAGACCAGAAGACUUCUGUGUGACUCCAGCUAUCUUCAAUUCCUAUGACCAACGCCACAACUGUAAAAGGAAAAAAAAAAGGCACAAUCUUUGCAGAAGGAAAAUAUGGAUUCCUUUUUCCAGGGGAAAAUGGAAAGUGGUGGCUGGAGAUGCAGAACUCUGCAUACACGUUGUAAUCAGGGAGCUCUUGCUUAGCAAGGGGACACCUUCUUGAAAAGAAAGCAAUGGACCCUGCAGCGUCACCUGCACCUGGGCAGUGUGCUCUGUAAUUGCUCACAAGAUCAAACUCCUCAAUCUAGACAGGUGGAGUAGCACCUUCAAUGAGAUCUCACAUGGAUUCCUUUAUAUUACAGUAAAAUGGAAAUGCCACACUGUCUGAUACGGUGCCUCAGCUGACAGAAAAGCUGCUAACAGCUCACAGAUGGCAACUGGAUGCUAAUUGUCUCAGCAGGGAGCAAUUCAAAGAACACCAAAAAUUAAUCCAUCACUGGGUUUUUGCUCAUGCAGUAAACAGUACUCUCUUCCUGAGGAGAAACCAAAUUAGUGACUGAAGAGUGAUUCAUCACAAUUUCUUUUUGGAACAUCUCAGUAGAAAUGUAGCAAGUACCUGGUUCAAAAUGAACAAAAGGACAUAUUUCUAACAUAAUGAAUUGUUAAAUCAUGCACUAAUGAAUGCCAUGGAUGGUAAGAAGUUGCAUAGGCUCAAAAGUUAUUGGAUGAAUUCCAAGAAAAAAAAGUAAAUCAUGUCAUAGCAAAUGCAAAGAUAUCCUCCCUGUUUUGAGAAGUCCCCAAGAGAAAACCUAUGGAAACCAGAAGAAAAUCUGAGGAAGCACUGCUCAUGCUUGUCCUCCUACUAUUCUGUUACCAACAGCACCUGCUAUUGAUCAGUAACAAGGUCAGGAUUCAGGCUGACAUCUUUAUAUUCUCACUCAGUAUGUGGGGUUGUGAAACAUAAAUGGUAUUCUGGCUUUUCCAAAUAAACAAACACAGCCUUAGUCUUUCAGUGGUCUGAGUUCUGCAGAAACACGUCACCAGGUGGUAUCUUAAUUUCAGCAUCUGUUAAUACUGAGUUCAAUAAAACUGCUGAUACGAUUCACUUUAAACAAACAAACCCUAAGGACAGGAUUCUUGUAUUAUCUAAGGACACUACAUGGCUGUAAUGACACAAGACUUUCUGAAGACACAACAGGAGACUGGAUGAACACCUUAUAGGAUAUCUUUAAUGGCAAUAGAUGUCUGUGUUCAAGGAACUGAACUUCACCCUAUCUGGAUUAGCCACUGAGAAAGCCCCCAGGAUUGAUCCCUCUAAUUCAAGUUCAGCAGCUCACAUUUCACAAAGCCUUUUUUUUUUUUCCGUUAACUGUUAAUGAACACUUAAAUAUUUUGCUGCCUUAGGACACAGAGAAGGUACUAAUGUCUAAAAGCCAGAGGAUAAGGUAUGCUCUGGGACCUGCACUGGAGAGCUAGAAGAUCAUUCGAUGCACAGAAUGGAAGGGAGUGAUACAGACAAAAGGUCUUGGUAUCUGAGCUGGAGAUUCUGGGACUGCUAAAACCUUUCACAGAGUGAUGUUCCUGUGCUGAAAACUAAUUUUGAUUCAACAUUUCAUUUUAAAAUUACAAUUAGAGCAGAUGAGACUAAUAAAAAUAAAUCACAGAUGAAAAAAUAAUGCUUUGAAAGUAAAACUUUGUGUGAAAUGGUUUUUUCUGCAAAUUCCUUCUUGGCAAAUUUUAAAAUGUCAGGUUUCACAUAUAGCUGAAAUUAAAGUAAUUUUUUAAAACUGUAAA